ACCCUCUCAGGGUUGCAACUGGAGAGUUUCCAGUACUCUACCAGCCACGAGUUCAGGAGGGAGAGUCAAGCAGAGGCCUACCCAUUCCAUUCCUAGCUUGGGCAGUGGCUAGUGAGUGGAAGGCAAUCUGCUACAAGU
rnacentral:snoRNA from 2 species